rnacentral:rRNA from 1 species
UCCGAACACGGCAGUUAAGCCCUCCUGCGCCGAUGGUACUGCAUGGGUCACUGUGUGGGAGAGUAGGUCGUCGCCGGGG